GCGCCGCUCAACCUAAUCCUCAACCUCACCUGCGUCGCUCGCCUAUCCUCCACCCGCGCCGCUCGCCUAUCCUCCGGCCGGCGGCCGUCCACCUCCGAAUCAGCCCCUCCGGCCUUCCCCACCCGAGAGCAGCAGCGUGAGCACUGAGCAGCAGCGUGAGCAGAGCAGCAGCGUGAGGCGACGCCGCUCCAUCUCCGGCCACUCCAUCCAUCUCCGGCCGCUCCAUCUCCGUCCAAUCCAUCAGCGUAGACCUCUCAUCAGUCAUCAGGUAAUUUAUUGGGCAUUAAGGAGCGCAAGUGGAAGAGGAUUUAGCCAAAAUAAAGACUUCCAUCAACGCUUU
rnacentral:lncRNA from 1 species